rnacentral:lncRNA from 1 species
AGACUGCCUUUAGCGAUCCUUAACAUUGUCCACGGCCAUUACAACAUCAAAAAGAGGCAUGAGCCAAAUGUUCUUCACAGGAAACUGGUUGGCUGGGAAGACCACCUCUACACCAUCCUCACUCAGGUAUGUGGUCCGAAGCAGCUCCAAGGCUGCUUGCCUUGGAGGGGAAAGAUGCUUGCCAACACACUGGAAGUUACUUUUCACAUUUCUGUGGACAAAGAAAGUCACCUACGUGGCACUACUGUACAGAAAGCAAGAUUUGUCUUCGGCAAAGCGGAAGUUUGCAGAUUCCUUAAAUGAAUUUAAAUUUCAGUGUAUAGGAGAUGCCGAAACAGAUGAUGAGAUGUGUAUAGCGAGAUCUUUGCAAGAAUUUGCUGCUGUUCUCAGGAAUCUUGAAGACGAGCGGAGUCGAAUGAUCGAGAAUGCCAGCGAGGUGCUCAUCACACCCUUGGAGAAGUUUCGAAAGGAGCAGAUUGGGGCCGCCAGGGAAGCCAAAAAGAAGUAUGACAAAGAGACCGAGAAGUACUGCGGCACCUUAGAAAAACAUUUGAAUUUGUCUUCCAAAAA